CGUUUUGGAUCGAAAAGGUAAACCUAGCCAAGAAAAAGUGAAAAAAAAACAGAGCGUAAUUUGCUUUGGCUUUCACUUUCACUUUCCAAACUCAGUAUUCCUCUUGAAUAUUUCAAAAUUUGUUGUAUUUCUUCAUGUUCAAAAAAUAAUUGUAUAAAAUCGAUUGAAUUAAAAUGGAAAGGAGUGGUGGCAAAGGCAGGGAAGAAGAGGAACAAGACGGCAUGUCCGUACACUCUCCUUGCAAACCUCCCCCUUCCUCUGCUUCUUCUCUCCCAAAGGAGCAAUCACAGGUUGAAUUGGAGCUCAGACUGUUUGAAGCUCUUGAAAUUUACCCUCCCGGAAAAUUACAAGGCAUACACCGUCAUUUCGUGCUUUAUGGUUUAAUGGAAUUUCUUCGUAGAAGCUUUGAUCGACACUUCUCUGCUGACGAGGUUCUGCAAUUGCUAGAGAGGUUCUACAACUUGGAAAUGCUGGUGAAUAGGUACUAAAUAGCUGCGUUAUUCGAGUUCGAGGCAUACAUUCGGUGAAAGGGUAGGCUUGAGGAAACAUUUGGAAUGGGGUCUCGUAUGCGGAAGUUUGAUAAACCAGACGACGAGGAGAUGGAUUUCCUGAAUCGCGAGGAAGAGUUUUGCCUGCCUCAAAAUUUCUUCGUCAAGGAAGAACCAUAACUGAUUAUUUUUGUAUAGAAUUAUAUCUUGUUCGUACGUAUUUUGUUUGCUCUAAUGUUAUGCGAUGCCGGUCAUCCAGUCUUUUUCCGUGACCAUACAAUGUCAGGGUGGUUUUUGCUAAUAUGUAUGAACUUGCUUGAAAAUCUUAAUUAGCAUUUGGGGGUUAUAGUUAUACCUCAGCAGUGGA